UACGUGAGGGGCGAACGUUGUUCGGUGUCACUGGGCUUAAAGGGUGCGUAGGUGGUUGUGUAAGUAACGUGUGAAAUCCCUCGGCUUACCCGGGGAAUUGCAUGUUAUACUGCAUGACUUGAGGACCAAAGGGGAAAAGGGAACUCCAGGUGUAGCGGUGAAAUGCGCAGAUAUCUGGGGGAAGGCCGGCGGCGAAGGCGCUUUUCUGGUUGGUACCUGACACUGAGGCACGAAAGCGUGGGGAGCAAACGGG
rnacentral:rRNA from 1 species